ACUUAUAUAGCUUAUAUAGAGCAUAGUGUUGAAGUUACUAAGGAAAUUUUUAUUUGUAAGUA
rnacentral:tRNA from 1 species